GAGGAAUUUUCCGCAAUGGGCGAAAGCCUGACGGAGCAAUACCGCGUGGAGGUAGAAGGCCCACGGGUUGUAAACUUCUUUUCCCGGAGAAGAAGCAAUGACGGUAUCUGGGGAAUAAGCAUCGGCUAACUCUGUGCCAGCAGCCGCGGUAAGACAGAGGAUGCAAGCGUUAUCCGGAAUGAUUGGGCGUAAAGCGUCUGCAGGUGGCUUUUGAAGUCCUCCGUCAAAUACCAGGGCUCAACCCCGGACAGGCGUUGGAAACUAUCAAGCUGGAGUACGGUAGGGGCAGAGGGAAUUUCCGGUGGAGCGGUGAAAUGCGUAGAGAUCGGAAAGAACACCGUGGGCGAAAGCGCUCUGCUGGGCCGACACUGACACUGAGAGACGAAAGCUAGGGGAGCGAAUGGGAUUAGAUACCCCAGUAGUCCUAGCCGUAAACGAUGGAUACUAGGUGCUGCGCGUUUCGACCCGUGCGGUGCUGUAGCUAACGCAUUAAGUACCCCGCCUGGGGAGUACGUUCGCAAGAAUG
rnacentral:rRNA from 1 species